AACGAACGCUGGCGGCAUGCCUAACACAUGCAAGUCGAACGAGACCUUCGGGUCUAGUGGCGCACGGGUGCGUAACGCGUGGGAACCUGCCCUUAGGUUCGGAAUAACUCCCCGAAAGGGGUGCUAAUACCGGAUAAUGUCUUCGGACCAAAGAUUUAUCGCCUUUGGAUGGGCCCGCGUUGGAUUAGCUAGUUGGUAGGGUAAAAGCCUACCAAGGCGACGAUCCAUAGCUGGUCUGAGAGGAUGAUCAGCCACACUGGGACUGAGACACGGCCCAGACUCCUACGGGAGGCAGCAGUGGGGAAUAUUGGACAAUGGGCGAAAGCCUGAUCCAGCUAUGCCGCGUGAGUGAUGAAGGCCUUAGGGUUGUAAAGCUCUUUUAACCGGGAUGAUAAUGACAGUACCGGGAGAAUAAGCGCCGGCUAACUCCGUG
rnacentral:rRNA from 1 species